UGGGGAAUUUUGGACAAUGGGCGAAAGCCUGAUCCAGCAAUGCCGCGUGUGUGAAGAAGGCCUUCGGGUUGUAAAGCACUUUUGUCCGGAAAGAAAUCCUUGGCUCUAAUACAGUCGGGGGAUGACGGUACCGGAAGAAUAAGCACCGGCUAACUACGUGCCAGCAGCCGCGGUAAUACGUAGGGUGCAAGCGUUAAUCGGAAUUACUGGGCGUAAAGCGUGCGCAGGCGGUUUGCUAAGACCGAUGUGAAAUCCCCGGGCUCAACCUGGGAACUGCAUUGGUGACUGGCAGGCUAGAGUAUGGCAGAGGGGGGUAGAACUCCACGUGUAGCAGUGAAAUGCGUAGAGAUGUGGAGGAAUACCGAUGGCGAAGGCAGCCCCCUGGGCCAAUACUGACGCUCAUGCACGAAAGCGUGGGGAGCAAACAGGAUUAGAUACCCUGGUAGUCCACGCCCUAAACGAUGUCAACUAGUUGUUGGGGAUUCAUUUCCUUAGUAACGUAGCUAACGCGUGAAGUUGACCGCCUGGGGAGUACGGUCGCAAGAUUAAAA
rnacentral:rRNA from 1 species